GGGCAACCUGGCGGCGAGUGGCGAACGGGUGAGUAAUAUAUCGGAACGUACCCAGAAGUGGGGGAUAACGUAGCGAAAGUUACGCUAAUACCGCAUACGAUCUACGGAUGAAAGUGGGGGACCUUCGGGCCUCAUGCUUUUGGAGCGGCCGAUAUCUGAUUAGCUAGUUGGUGAGGUAAAGGCUCACCAAGGCGACGAUCAGUAGCUGGUCUGAGAGGACGACCAGCCACACUGGGACUGAGACACGGCCCAGACUCCUACGGGAGGCAGCAGUGGGGAAUUUUGGACAAUGGGCGCAAGCCUGAUCCAGCAAUGCCGCGUGAGUGAAGAAGGCCUUCGGGUUGUAAAGCUCUUUUGUCAGGGAAGAAACGGCUGAGGCUAAUACCUUCGGCUAAUGACGGUACCUGAAGAAUAAGCACCGGCUAACUACGUGCCAGCAGCCGCGGUAAUACGUAGGGUGCAAGCGUUAAUCGGAAUUACUGGGCGUAAAGCGUGCGCAGGCGGUUUUGUAAGUCUGACGUGAAAUCCCCGGGCUCAACCUGGGAAUUGCGUUGGAGACUGCAAGGCUGGAGUCUGGCAGAGGGGGGUAGAAUUCCACGUGUAGCAGUGAAAUGCGUAGAGAUGUGGAGGAACACCGAUGGCGAAGGCAGCCCCCUGGGUCAAGACUGACGCUCAUGCACGAAAGCGUGGGGAGCAAACAGGAUU
rnacentral:rRNA from 1 species